rnacentral:lncRNA from 1 species
UUUUCUUUUUUUUGUUUUGAUUUGUUUUGCUAUUUUGUUUGACUGGCUUAUUUGUUUCGCAGCAGGUGUUUUCGGUGAUCAAACUUGUGGUUUUGGUGUUUCAUUUAAACUUUUGCUUAUAUAUAUAUCAUGUUUAUUAUUGAUUAUAUAGUUGUUGUGGUCUUUUCAGUUAUGACUUACUAUUUGGAUAUUCUAUUUGGUCUUUUCUCAUUUAAAUUGUGCUUCACUUCAAUCAUGUGGCCGCAGCACUCCACGCAUUGUGUAAUGCGUGAUGUGGAGCCUUGUUGCUUUUUUCCACAUCACGCUUCAGCUAUAACAAGAGUUAGAAAAGAUAGAGGUAGGCCGAAAGAAAGUUGGGGGGUGAUUAACCAGGUCAUGAAACAACUUCAUCUUACUAAGAACAUGACCCAAUAGAAAGGUUUUGUAGUAGGGGAUUAGGAUAGAAAUUUAGUAUGUAGCAUAAGGUUGUCACACUUUAUAUGAGAGAGGGUAGGGUACUAGACCCUUCAUCUCCUCUUCUCCUUAGUAUUAAUUAGAAGUUCUGUAGUGUCUUAUUCUUCGAUGUGUAUUAUCAUUUGUUGCUUCAUUUGCUUUGUAUCUUGCCAUUUCAUAUUUUUCUUUCAAUCCUGCUUCGAAAGCAUUUCUUUUGAGCUGAGGGUCUAUCAGACACACAGCCCCCUAACCCAUAAAAUUAAGGGGUAAGAUGUGUGUAUAUCUUACCUUCCUCUACACUGGGUAUGUUAUACCGCAGGAAGUCCAACUAAAAGAAGUAUGCAUUCAACACAUCUCAUAGGGAACACCUUGCCCAUCACACUGUUUUGAUCCGCUGCAGAACAAGGACAUAACCACUGUCCACACGUAUAGAUAACCGUUGAGCUUUUCACGUAGCAUAGUAUAUCCUUAAGAAUUAUUUGGAUUAUUUUUCUAUCAGCUCAGCAUAUUAGGUUCCUCCUGUAUUGCUCUAACUUAAAAAAAAUUGCUUAUCAAAGGAAUUCUAUUUUGCAUGAGUAUGGAAGCGAACUUAAAGAAAUUUUCUAGCAAGAAAAACCCUCUUGCAAUGGGGAAGAACAUUGUGCAUUUUUCAACAUAGAAAGUAAAGAGGAAACGGCAUGACCAGAAGAAUUGUGUCAAAUACACAUGGAAAAAAACUGUGGUCACCAUAUCCAACAUUGGCUCCUCGCUCACUCUUAUUUUUUAAACCCCUCCUCACUCUCACUGCCUGCUUGAGGACUACAACGGAUUGACCAGAAUUAUCACCUUCUAAAAUGCCAGAAACAAGAAACAUUCCAAGUCAUUUCGGGCGAUGUGGGGGACAAAGGCUUGAUGAUGCUGACAGCAUAGUUCUUUUUUAAGCUAAAAUAGUGAUGGUCCAGAACAAUAAGGGGGAGGCCACAGAUACAAACGCGCAUACAUAUAUCUGUGAGCGGGCAUGGCGUGCGUAUGUGUGUGAGUAUCUAAUACAAGAAUGACAUUACUCCCAAGUGUAAAAUCUACAGUAGCCAUGUCACUGCAAUACAUGGUUUUCCUUUUAAUUGAUAAAAAGUGUCGAAUACCAGUUGUGUCAUGCUAUCAUACUCCUUUACAGCAUCAGUGAACUUUGCAACAUCUUCCUCAUCAAUUGCAGCUGCCAAAUCCUGUCAUUAGGAAAUAUUUCUCCCAAGUUAACUUUAACGUCACAUUGAGAAAAACAUGUAUGAUAACUGUGAGGUAGCAAGUAUAAGCACUUGAGUGAAAUCUUAUAUUAGCUUUGGUCCUUGCAUGAGUGCGUCUCUAUAUGAUCAUUUGCGAUACUAGGAUAUGGUUACCCAUAGUGCAUUGGAUCAUGUGAAAUAUGAUAGCAAUUUUUAGAUUUCACAAGAUGAAAACCAUUUUCACAAAGACCAGACUCAAUAACUGUCUAAAAGAGAAGGGUCAGAAAGCAGGAAGACAAAAUAACAUUCACAAGCAGGAAUAUACAUGCUAUGACAUACCACUAGCAAUUUGCAUUCGCGUGUCCCUGAAAAUGUUGGAUCCAGCUCCUGCAGAUGAAUAUGCAAUAUUUACCUACUGAUAUCAUGUUCAUGGAUAGAAACUUAGUGGCUGAACAAGUAAACCCAAUACCUGAUAUCGUUCCAACGCAUUGUUGAUUGCAACAACAUCACCUUUGCAAAGUUGGCAAAUACCAGCAUUAAGAAGAUGCCCUCUAACUCCAUACUUCAAUAAGUUGUUAUUGACCGAGUGACGUGCAAUCUCCUCAAAGAUCUCGAUCGCUCUCGGAUAUCUGAGAAAAUAUGUCAGAAUUUGUAAGAAAAUAUUCCAAUUCUUAGAAAAUUUUAGAACAUCAAGAAGCUAAAACAAAAGAUUAAAAAUUUAUUAAUAGUUCAAAUGGCAUUUAUUCAUAGUUCUCUUUGUUUGGAAGUGAUAAUCUUUUCCUAACUACUGAUAUUGGCCUCUUUUCUAUCUUUCUUGUUGUUGCAUCCAUAACAAGAGACUGAUUUCACCAACAGCAGUCUAAGAAAACCAGAUCGACCUCUCUUAUUUUGACAGAAUAAGAUGCAAUAUCCUCCAGUUCAAAGUAAUAACAUUUUCAUGACAUGAAUCGACAUUCUUUCUUUGUUGGAAACUAUAUCACUACCUAAAUACAAUGAAUCUUACUUCUCCAUUUGAGCAGAGAAUUGUGCGACUCUCUGCUUGCAUUGAUUUGCAGUUGUUGUUACAUCUUCACUCUGGAAAAGAUCAGCUGCCUUCUCAUAAUAACUAAUAGCCUGCUCCAAAUAUUGCUCUUGCUCAUAUAAUUCAGCAAUUUCCUGUAUACAGGACACAUUACAUCUCUUUCAGACAGACAAAUCCAGCUUCCUAAGGAUACUCAAACUAAAAUAGCUGUAUUCUACAACCGUUCUGGCAAGGGCAACAAAGUGACACAACACAAGACCAGUCACUUAUCACCUUUCUUGUGCAUGUAAAACGCCCAAUCAGUUAGGUACAUAAAAGAAACUAAGCAUUGAGCUGACUAGAACCAAGAAUUAGACCUUGUGCUUACAUGAAAGACACAAAAUACAGACAACAGGCCUCUAAACCAUCAAAAGAUAACAUUCAGAUUCUUGCAGAAAAUAUAACUAGCUAUACCUUGUAAUAUCUUGCAGCCAAAUUCAGCCUCCCAAUGUCCAGAAACAAGUUCACUGACUGCUCUAAACACGAUAUUGCCUCUGCAGCAUACACAAUAUAAAAUUCAGUUUGUUCAAGUCAAUGCAAAAGAUAACUAAAAAGGAAAAAUCAUUACAAUGUGAUGAUUUUCGGAAAAUAUUCUCAGAAAUGAUAUUCCAUUAGAAUUAUACUGUAUAAGAUUUUAUGCAUAUAUCGAGCUCAAGUAAUUUGGGUUGAGGUGUAGUUGAUAGGGUGAUUAUAAAGAUUCUUUUCUUUAGCCGUUAAAUUUGCCAUUUCCACCUUGGAAACUCGGCAAAUAAUGGGUCCUCCACUUCUACCCUUCUCCACUUGAAUACCGAACGUGGUUCCCCACUCAUUGCAUGUGUACACACACACGUCCCACACUGUACUAUCUUUAGUUCUUUACCAUUGAACCAAAGCCUGGAGGCAAUAUACUUAUGCUUCUGCAUCAGUUAAGCAACUGGGUGUAUGCAGUGUGUGUCUGUGUGAAUGAUAACCAAGCAUGCACCAAGAGGUCUUCUAAUCUCCCUCCCUCCUUUCCCCCUCCUCUCUCUCCCUCUAAUCAGCACUUCGCUUGUUGGUGCUUAUAUCAAUGUUUAAAUUUCCAAAUAUUUCCAUCAAACCUCCAAUAAAUUUAUUGAAUUUAAAAAAAAAAAAAAAAAAAAAAAAAAAAAAAAAAAAAAAAAAAAAAAAUACAGUUCCCCCAAAAAAAUCAUUUUUAGACCAGAAGAAUGAAAUUCAACUGUAGUUCAAAAUUAUUUUUUCCAAGCAACAAUCUUGGAAUUUAUCAAAAAAAAUUUAAAAAAUUGGAAGUAGUAGCUAUUAAAACAAUACUUAUUUUCAAUGUUUUGGCAACAACCGGUAUAUAAUUCAUCAUAUUUAUCGUACGAAACAACAAACAAAUAUUAGAACAUUAACAUGAAGUUUCAAUUAAAUAGGAGUAAAUUAUCUUACUUCCAUUGAAUUUUACAAAGUUACUAUCCCAGUAUGGUAUAUAUCAUAAAUGAUGAUUUGUAUAAACUUCUAUGUACAGUCUUUUAUAGAUACUUUUGAUGAUAAAUAUUAAUGCAUGAAGUUUCCCAUUGCACAAGUGCAAUAACUUUAUUUUCUUUCAAACUAUGUAAUCAUUCAUUCCGUAUGUACAUACUAAUCUAGUAAAUUUACAGUGUUCAAAACAUUUAACAUACACUCAAUUGUUUCCACAUGUUUCAGAAAUGUUUUUAUUUUUAAUUAAUCCGAAACAUAUCACUGAAAGAAAGUUCAAAUCAUGCCUACAUCCCAGAAUAGUUGGCAGUGCAACACUCCAAUCUUUCUAAUAUCCUUAUUAUAAAUUAAUAUCCUUAUUCUCUUACUUUCAUUGAAUUCUACAAAAAUAUUAUUCCAGUAAGAUAUAUCAUAAAUGAUGAUAUGCGUGAACUUCUAUGUACAGUCUUUUAUAGAUACUUUUGAUGAUAAGUAUUAAUGCAUGAAGUUUCUUGUUGCAUAAGUGCAAUAACUUUAUUUUCCUUGUAACUAUGUAAUCAUUCAGUGCGUAUUUACAUACAAAUAUAGUAAAGUUACUGUAUUCAAAAUAUUUAACAUACACUCAACGAAAUGUUUCAAUUUUUAAUUAAUCCGAAACAUAUCUCUGAAAGAAAGUUCAAAUCAUGCCUACAUCCCAGAAUAGUUAGAAGUGCAACACUUCAAUCUUUCUAAUAUCCUUAUAAUAAAUUAAUAAAUUGCAAGUGUCAUUCUAAAAGCAAAAAGAAGACGACGCUGACCCGUUCACUUUCGAUGCCACACCCGUAUCGGAUUCUCCGAGUUUUGGAGAAUCCAACACGCACCCCUUCACAUUUUUGAUGAGUCCGAAACAUAGCAACAAACAAUCAAAUAAUUCCUCCUGUGACAAGAUAAUAUUACUAAAUGCAAAACCUCUAAGAAGCUCCUAAUGAAAAGAGGCUUAUAUGUAGAGCAGAACGGACUUGCAUCCAAAGAAAUUGCUUAUAUGUUUCUGGAAGCAUGCAACAUAAGAGUGCUGGCUUUAAGGAAAUAAGUGUUCCGCGACUUACAAACCUUUAAUAUUUGACUUCUUGUAGCAAUGAGCAGCAUCUGCAUACGCAUUAGCAGCCUCAUGUUUGCUAUCCAACUGUGAACGUAAAGGAAAUCGACUUUCAAGAACUGAAAAUAUCUUGUGAGUAAGACCAAAGGAAAAGAGCAGCAAUGAGAGACGACUUACUACAGAAGGAUUAACACUUACCUUAAGAUGACAAUUAGCCAAUUUAACAUAUACUGCUCCAGCUUUAUCCCCUGAAAGAACCAGGUAAGAAAUUAUUCUACAAUUUCUUAGCAUUAAAAAGAGUAUGUCCAUCUUACACAACUUAAAGUCUAAAUUGAAGUAUGUGGUAUUUUUCUGUCUAUAAAGCAUAUCUUUCCCCUUCUAGAAACAAUUCUACCCAGGAAAAAAGAUGACGGGUGAGAAAACCCAUUCAACCAAUACUGCAUGUCCAAAGUAAAAUAAAAUCUGAUCAUUAAAUAACUCUCCUUAAAUGAUUAAUACUGCAGUUGUUUAGAAGAUUAAAAAAAUAAUACAAAUGACAAUCUACUCCAACAAUUAUUUUCAUUAAUCAAAUCCAGCAAUAAUUACUUGGACCAAACAAUCAUUCAUAAUUAUUAAGGAAGAUCAUUUAAUGAGAAAAUGCAUAACAAUAUUUACAGAUUCUCACUCAAUAAUGUGAAUCAUCCCCAAGUCAACAUCAGGAAAAAAAAUGAAAAAAAAAAAACAAUUAAUACCGUACAAAAAUGUUUUGGUAAAAAAUGAAGAAUGAGAUCUUAAAAACAGAAACUGAGCCCGAUCACCAGGUAGGGAUACAAAAUACAAGAUCUUAAUAAAAUGAGAAACAACGUUGUAGAAAAAUGAUUAAAAAAAAAAGAACUAACAAGAUUUGGCGAGUUUAAAGCAAUUGCCAGCUUUAUCGAACAGAUCAGCGGCGUCUUCGUACUUGGAGCCGAAAAGGCCCCAUCCGCCGAGCUUCUUCUCAGCCUUGUUCUCGAAAUCUUCACCUCUUGCUAUGUGAUCCCCCAUAUUUGGUCAGCACAAAUGACGAAAUCUGUCGUUUAAAGUAACCUGGAAAAACGGAAAAAAAAAAAAAAAACGGAGAAGAAAAAUGCGGUGGGUGGGGAUGGAGAAAAAGCUUUCUAAGUGGGGGAUCAAAAUUAUUUCACUUUUCUAAAAAAAAAAAAAGUGAAAACAAGAUUAUUUGGGAUGAAAAUUUUAAAUAUAAUUUUAAAAUUAUAUUUAAAAAAGUGAAAAGUUUUAAAUUUUUUACUCAUACUUUUCUCACGAAAUUUUAAAAAUAAUUUUAAUUUAUAUUCAUGAUCAAACACAACUUCACUUCAACUUCAAAAAAUUAUAAUUUUAAUGACCGGGCCUAAAAAGGGAAAAGGUCAAUACAAUCCUAAACUAUUUAGGUCUCAUUUGACCAUGAAAAUUAUAAUUUCUUAGAGUUGGAGUUGGAGUUGGAGUUGGCCAUGAAUAUAGAUUAAAUUGGAAUUUUAUGAGAGAAGUAUGAGUGAAAAAUGUGAAAAGAAGUAAAAUUUGUUUUCACUUUUUCAAAUACAAUUCCGAAAUUGUAUUUGAAAUUUUCAUGGCCAAACACUUACAGUUUUCACUUUUUUCACUAAAGUGAAAUAAUUUUUUGAAAAAAAGUAAAAAACUUUGUAUGGCCAAACGACUACUUAAAACGGAGUAGAAUAUCCUUCGUUUAUUUUUAGCUUCAUCACUUAAUUUAUUUUUUAGAUUAAAAACACACCUUACGAAAAAAGGGUCAAAACUAUCUUAAACUAUUAAAAAUGAACCAAAAAUUCCCUUCAUUUAUUUUUUGAUUUAAAAAUACCCUCCAUUUAUUUAUUAGCUCACAUAUACUCCUCACUUCAAUAGAGUGUCAUUAAGCCCACCACACGAAAAAAAGCUAUAACAUGACCAAUCCAUGUAAACAUCUCAUUUAAUAUCCAACUAAACCACUUAACCAUCCAACUUAACAGAUCCAUCUUUAAAACAACCAACCUGUCUUCAUAAGUAAAGGGUAAAGAUAUACCUUUCAUUUUACUUGAGCUCUCUCGAAUAAUUGAUAUACACUAGGAAUUUUGAGAGAAAAGAAAGCUCUUAAUACAUAGGUUGAAACUCUAUCCGUUUUUAUCAUGUAAAAGAAUGAGAGUUCAACCCAUAUACUAAUGACUUUCGAUUUCCUCAAAAUCUCUAGUCUGCUUCGAUUUUUUGGGAGAGUUUAAAUAAAGGCGUGUCAGAAUUUUUGAAUACAGAUCAGGUACAGGUAUUAAAUGAAAUGUUAAGUUGGAUGGUUAAGUGAGUCGAUUGGUAUUAAAUGGGAUAUUGAUAUGGCCUGGCCAUGUGGUAAUUUUUUUUCACAUUGUGUGCUAGGUGACACUCCAUUAAAGCAAGGGUAUUUAUGAGCCAAAAAAUAAACAAAGGAUAUAUUUAAGCCAAAUAGAGGGUAUUUUUGCUCCAUUUCGAAUAGUUCAGAGGGAAGUUUUGACCCUUUUUCGUUUUAAUAAAACGAUUUCAAGCGUUGGAUGGGCUCUGAUUUUUUUGGGCCUGCUUUUAUUCUUUGGGCUUGGGACUAGCACAUAAAUAUUCACCGUCCAAACCCCAUUAUAAUAUAAUUAAGAAAAUUUCACAAAAUAGCAAAAAUUACACCUAGUGUCCCCCAAUCCAUUAAAUUUGAUGCUGUCAUAUACUAUUGAACUUCUCGAUUAUGUUUGUGUAAAUAUCUAGAGAUUUUUUUCUUUGUUUUUCCUUAGGACAAGGUUGUUUGGGCCAGGUUAUUUGGGCCUUGCUCGAUCUUAUUUGUUGGACCUUUUUCUUUUGGAAUAAAUGACCUAAUAGACUCCUUUUAAAUUAAAAAGAGAAAGAAAUACACCUAGUGUCCUCCAAAGUAUUCUUUCUUGAACUUUCGUCCACCAAAGUAUAUGAUUUUGAAUUUUUAUUCUUACUAAAUAAGUUCUAAUGAUUGCCCAUAUGGCAAACAUUAAGUCAAUUGAACGAGUUCACUAUUUUAAAAUGUCAUUAACUUUUGCCUUAUCAUCAUACAUAAUGUUAGAACCCUUGGGGGUUGCACCACACAGUGAGGGACCAGGUCCCUCAAAGUCAGUCACAAGGGAUAGAAUAGUAAAGCAACUAGGAGGUGCUGGAAAGACAAAGGCAAUGCAGAAAGGUAAGAACACAAAUUUUUACAUGGAAACUCAAUAAGGAAAAAACCAGGGCUUACCCUCACAAGCACCAAACAGUCCACUAUAACCAACCUCUUGAUUACAGACUCGACUAUGAACCUAACUCUAAGUUUCUUUCGCUUGUAACAACUCUAUUACAAGCUCAUCUUGGUAACUCUACCGAGUACCCUCUCUAGUAACUAAUUUUAAUCAGAAAAAAGCUCAGGCAAUUCUACCUAAGCACUCUCUACUCAAAGAAAAAAAUUCUACUCUUAUAGCUUGAAUAGUUCAGUUACAAAUCAAAGCUCACUCAAGAACAAGUUCAAUUUAAGUACUUAUAAAGCAGGGAACUUGAGCAGUUUUGAAAUGGGGUUUUGUUGCCUCUUUUCACACUCUUUAGAAUUUGCAAAAACCGUUUGAUGAAGAAGAUUCUCUUUCUUUUUAUAACUGAGUGAUGAUUAGGGAUGAAAUAUCAUUGGACUACCUGUCCAAGUCAAUACAAAAUAACACCUGCAAGUUUGUUACACAAGAGGACAAAACUUUGCAGAUACUCUGUGCUAGUUGUACUGUACUUUGUACAUCCAGGGACCUGGUCCCUUGCAGUUUAGCUGCUCAUCAUCAAAACAACAUAUAGCAAUUUUCCCCCUUUUUGAUGAUGAAAAACCAAACCAUACAAUUUGAGCAUCAGUGUACAUUCAUCACAUUUAAUUAGUGUGAUUACCACCUAAAGAUUAAUUUCCCCCUAUCAUCAUGCUUCCUUCAUCACCAUCAUGCAACACAGGGACAUGGUCCCUUGUUGUCAUUUUGCAGCAAAAACUCUUUUCCCCCUGUCAUUAUGCACCUUCAUUUUGUUAUUGACAUACUUCCCUCUGUCACUGUGCUACCACACUUCUGCACCAUGUGAGCACACACGUACCAGGUCCUUACAUAUGAAGUCAAUAUUCCCCCUUUUGGCACAAUUGAAAAGGAGCGACAGUAAACGAUAAGUAAAAAGAAGUGAAGGCUAAAUAACUCAAGACCACUCGGGGCAACACUAACAUGAAGAACAACUUUGCAAUAAAAAAGAAAAUAAAGAACACAUGCAGAAAUUUAUUCAUUAUUAUUAGCACCAAGUUAAUAUACCAAUCAAAACAUCAAACAACCAUUUUCAAAUGCCACAAUAUAAACAGACAUAGGAGACAGACACACUAGGAUUCAGGUAGAAGGGGGUCUAGAGCAAAAUGAUUUUAGCAACAUGUACAUUCUAGAAGCCUCAACAGCAUGAUCGCUUAAUAAUUAUGUAGUGAGGAUCCUUACUUCAACAUUCAGUCCUUGAACCUCAUUAGUUAAUUUAGUGAAACCUGGUCCCUCAGAAGAUAACUUUUGAUUCUGCAAUUUCAGGUGUAUUAUUUCAGUGCUCUUUGCUGCUAACACAAUUCUUAACUCCUCCAUUUCUUGGUUAAGCUUUCUUGAGCAGCCAAAUGUUCUGACACUUAGGGCACAGUACCCAAUUUUCCUUCGAUGCAGCCAUUUUCAACCAAGGUUUUCAGACUAAACUUUUGUUUGGUAGUUCCUGGCGUUCCUUUUAUCCUAAUUACCCCGAAGUGACCAAAUACUUUAUUUAGGAAAUACUCAUAUGGCAUUUCAUGUUUUCCUUCCUUCUCAUAGAUUACCUUCUUCAUGUGCUCUAUCAUAACAGCUGGUAAGCUUAUUAACUCAAACUUAUUCAAACAUUCGAUCAAGAAUAGAUCAACACUAGAGGCAAUUGUUCUCUUUCUAACCUUGGCAACAGGACUUUGUUGAUGAACUCAAAUACCAGCUAAUACUUAUUUUUUUAAAACUUCUUUUCCACUGCAUCUGUUGAUGUUCCUCCAACCUUUGAUGCCUCAAUCAUUGAUUCAAUAGUAGGCUGUUGAUUUGUCAUAGUUCUUACCCCUACAACAGGUACAUUCAAGAUUCUCCCUAGUGUUUCUUCAUCCAAGUGUAUCUCUUUUCCUUGCACUAGGCUGGUAAGCCUCAUCCCAUCUUUUAAGAAGUCCAUGGUAUAAUAAACUUCUCUGACUUUAUUUUCAAAUAGCAUAGGAGGCGAUUCUUCUAUUAGGUACAACCAUCCUUAGCUUUUCACAUAUUUCACUAAAUCUACCAUACCGGGUUUUCAUAAAUAUUUGGAUCAAAUACUCUUCUAGACAACACUUUCUGGGUUUCUAAGAUAGCAAUCCUUGCUUCUUUAGAAACAAUCCUCUUUUCUUCAUCUUUUCUUCUUCUCCUUGAGUCAUCACUUGGUUCCUUAGUUUUCUCUUUUGGGGACUAGGUCCGUAAGAGAAUUUCUUUUUUUCUCACAGCUAAGUGUUUCUUCCAGCUUGCAAUAAAACUAUAGUAAGAGAACCUGGUCCUUUCUGUAUUCUGGACUUCUUGUCUUUUUCUCUUUGUUGCAAUAAUAAUAUCAGAAUAAGAAACUUCAUUUUCUCUAACCUCUACAACUUUAAUAUCUUUCUCCAUCACAUCAAUAGAUUUCUUCAAUUUUCUUCUUUUGAAGGUAGAUGACUUAUUUUCCUUCAUGGCAUCUUCUAACAACCUCUCUUCAAACCUCCUAGUAGAAUAAGAUUUAGUGACUUUUAUUUUAGUAUUAAUCAUUUCCCCUUUUUCUUUAUUACCUUCAGUUUAUUCAUUUUCUAUACCAGAGGUUGUUCAUCCUCAUCCUCCUUAUUUGGAGGUAAAAUAAAUUCCCUAUCCUUCUUCAAGUCAUCCUUUUCUCCUGCUAUUUGCUUUUUCCCAUUUGCAGAACUUUCCUUGAGAUUAUGUUCAAGUAAAAGCAAAUUAUCAUCCACCUGGUUUAUGUUGCUGAAUAAAUCUUCUUUCUUUAUAGGAAUUUCUUUAUCAACUAGCUGAACAAAUGUGGGAUUUAACUUAGAGGUUUCAGGUUUUUCAAUGGAAGAGGGAAUUUCUGAUUGAUACAUUUUUUGAUGCCUUAGUGAGUCAAACCCUUGAUUUUGGUCAACUUUAAAGACUAACUCAUCAGAGUUUUUAUUGGAACCUAGAGGUUUGACCGGAAUAGUUUCAUUAGGUUUCAGAAUUUUUUUAAGAAUGACUGAUGGGUAAAGUACUAUAUAAAUUUGAAGUUGAUUUGAGGAUAGUUCUUUCAUAGGAUUUGAAACAGAUAGUGCUUCGACUAUUUUUUACUCUUAGAGAGAGAAGUAAGAGAAAGAAAGACCAGAUUUUAAAAAAAAUAUUCUGAGUUACUUGUGAAAAGGAUGAAAUAAGAGGAUUUAAAUUUAUAGUUGACGGGAUGGUCUUUUAAGAGGAAUUUUUGAAUUGACCCUAUUAAUUACUGAAGGAGACUCUUCACACUAGUUUAAGCUUGACAACUUUUGUUCUGGUAGAAAAGACAUGUGACCUUUUUCAAAUAGAAAUUUAAUGAUUUUAAGGCACAUUGUUUUGGCACUAACUUGAGAGAUUGAUACAAGCAUGAGGUGCACAAAAUUGUACAAGGUAUUUUCAAAGGUUCAAACUUCAGAAUUGGUAAAUGUUUGAAGCAUUUUAAAUCCUUGUCAAGUUGAAGCUGGAGAAGGGAACCAUUACACUCAAGAGGCACCUCACUUGAAGGACAAAAUGUACUUUGCACACUAUGAUUUGACACUCAAGAGGCAACCCAUUUUAGGGCUAUUGUUGUCUUUUAAGACUCCCCUUUUACACUCCAAAGGAGCACCCUUCAUUAAGGGUAUUUUUGUUCUUGUUUGUAAUAAGUAUAAAUAGGCACCUUAGAUCUUAUUUUUCCUAAGUUUUGACUUAAUGAAUUGAGUGAAUUUUCAGAUUGUAAUAUUAGUGUUAGCUUAUAGUAUUCUCCUUCUCCUUAAGAGAGAGAAACCUAAUUAGGGUUAGCACAAUUGAUGGAUUUCACUUAUGUUGACAAAUUGGCAAGAAAGGUGGGUUUUGAGGAGUGUGAAUUCCCUUGGUCUACCUAAGGGGAAGGUUUGAGCUUCUAUUGGUGAGGUGUGAUUGAUGGUUUGAUAUACCAUCUUUUGUUAAUCACUUGGUAGAAGUAAGGUUCUUUCUAUCUAUCCUUUAAUUUCAAGCAUUCUUCUUCUUUAUCCCCUUUCUUUGUGUUGUUUGUCUCUUUAUGUGCUUGCUGAUUUUUGCAUCUUAUAUGUCCAUUUCAUGAAUUCCUAGUCUUUUCUUGUAUCAUUUGGUAUCAAAGCCACAUUUUAGGGUUGUUCCUACAAUCCUAAAUCUUGAAUUAUUGAUUACCAUGAAGAAAAUCAACAAAAAAGAGUGUAGAAAAUUAAAAAUCUCACAAAAAAAUUGUUAACUCUUUUUUGUGUUUUGACAGAUUUUUAGAUCUUAGAUCUACUUUGUUUUUGUGUGUUUUGUUGGUUUCAAGUGCUAGAUUCUUGCUCCCUAGCACCUAAGGAGUCUAGAUCUACAUUUGGAAUAAGAUUUGGUUGAGUUUGAGCUAAGAACCUCCAUAGAUAUGGUGUUUUGAAACUUUUUGAGCUUAGAUCCGUGUGGGUUUUGAAUUUGGACAUUGGUUUGUUGUUGACUUUUAGUUAUUUGAGUUCACCUUGGCCUAAGGAACCUAUAUCUACAAACAAAAUCAGAUUUGGAGUUUAUUUGGUUAGGGGUCAAACUUUGGUCAACUCUUAAAUAUUCAUCUUGUUCUUCCAUGUUCAUCAAGUCUUGCUAAGGAAGAAUAUUCAAAGAGUGUGUUUGAUCCAAAAAGAGAACAAAAAGAGUGUACUGGUGUUUGUGAAAGAAUAUUCCUUGGCAUAUUCAUUGUCAUCCAAAGAAAGAAGAGACAAAGAAAUAAUCAAAGUACAAAAUCAAGUAUAUUCCAAGUACAACGGGGGAGGGGGGACCAUUGUUUUUGAAUUCAUUUGAAGCUACAAAAUGUCUUUCAAACCUUUAUUUUUCCCUCCCAAAUGAAAUUCUUCUUCACCAAAGGGGUUCUAGGCCGAGACUUGAGAAUUAGGGUUGAAAAAAUUUGAAAACUCAACAUCCAAUCACAAGCUACGAUGUCAUCAAUAGCUAAUCGGCCAAAUUGAGUUCUUAGGUAGAUUUCCUAGUUUCAAAUUGUUGUUUCUAUUUUAAUUUUGUUGUUCUUUCACUAAUUAGCAAACUAGUAAGUACCUAUGUCUUUAAUUUUUGUGUGCUUUUCUUAUUUUUAAUUCGUAGUAAUUUGUUGGUUCAAGUUCGUGCAUCAUUUUAUUUGAGUCAUAUCAAACAAAAAUUGAUUCCGGACCAAAGCAAAUUCAUCACUCCUUCACUUGCCAAGCAUUGCUAAGUUUUCAACACUUGUGAGACCAAGUGUGAGGUAAGAUCCGAGUGUGAGUGUGGUGAUGCCUUUUUGAACUAACUUGUUUGCUCGUUUCGUAGGUUGUUUUUCUUGCUUUUUUUGCACUUUUUAGGUACAUUUACCAUGGAAUCCAAAAGUACUACUUCCCAACCUUUGGGAAAUGAUGCUAUUGGAGUUUUGAUGGCUCGGUUGGAGACCUUUCCCAAAAAUAGAGAAUAAUAAUAAUGCUUUGAGGAGAGGUAUGAAGGGUAUUAUGGAUGUAAUGAGGGGUGACAUGAUUAGAAUUAAAGCAAGGGUUGAUAGACUAUGUCCACCAAAAUCUCCACAAAAUUCAAACCACCAAGUUCCGAACUCACUUAACCAAAGUCUACCUUCACAAGUCCAAACACCUCAAGUCCAAAGACCCAAUACUUCACAAAAUCCAAUGACUCCUCUCCAUAAGUUAGAAACCAAAGAGAGUGAGGCCAAGCCUCAAGAUGGAGAGAAAAUAAAUGGCAAGGUACAAGAAGAAUGUGAAAAAAGAAGGGAAAAGGAAAGGGAAACCAUGGGUAGUGAAGUUGGAAGGGGAAAAAUGCUAGAUUGUGGAUCUUGUCCACAAAAGGACCCUUGUUAUUCACUAACCCAAAUUCUAGCACUUUCCCCAACAUUGAUUCUUCUCAUGUGAAGGUUCAAUACCAUAGAAGUCCCGAGGAGAAUCCCAAGAAAGUUCCCUUUAAGCCCUUAGUCCCAAUUUUGGGAUAAGUGAUGAAGAAGUUAGUCCAAAGAGGAACCUUGACAGAAUCCCUUGUAAUGUAGAGCAUGAAGCCUGCCAUAAUGCAAACCCAAGUAAAGAACACACUUCCCAUGAUCUACAAGGUAACAAAGCUAUCUUCUAUACUCCUAGAAACUUGAAUUGUUGUGAUGUGGCUAGAGUGGACAAAAUGGUGUAGUUUUAGAUUUUCUUAGUGAAGAAGUGUGUAAAUCUUUCUUUUGUGAUACUCUUGGUGUUGUUGGGUCGCAUAAGGACUAAACUCUUGUUGUGAGUAUGCAAGCACUAGUUGAUCCUUUAGAUGACAAAAUCAAUUCUUUUCUUAAGAAUGAUUUGUGUUCAUCUAGUGCUACAAACUACAGGAUAGAAAAAAAUAUACCAAUCCUAAGAAUCCGUAGGAUUUAUUGUGGAUCCAAGACAACAAUAGAAAGAUUUGAGUCUUAGAUUUUUAUUUAGUUUUCUAGAUUUUGUAUUUUAAAUCUUGUAUAUCUAGGUAAGUAUAUACUUAGUCAAAAUAUAUGCAAUAGAAUUUUUGUUGUAUUCGGCUCAAUCCUUUUAGUAAAAGAUUGGGCCGAGUUUAAUUGCAAUUCAAUUAAGAGAACGAAGGAUAAUUACUUGAGUUCUUUCUCCUUAUCCUUCGUUAUUUCCUGCUAAUUUAUCUGCUAAUGUCUACUGUUUUUACUUAUCCAAAACGUCCACUGCUGCAAAAUUAAAUACGAUCUCUUUCCAUACCUCACAAGCAGCAGCUAGUUCCGGGCUCCAUUUGGAAGCCUCGCGAAUAAUCUCAUUACCUC